rnacentral:rRNA from 1 species
GUCUAGAGAUAAAGCAUGAGGUUCAACCUAAGCACGCUUUGGAUACUGGUUAACUAGAGUUAUAUAGAGGUAAACGGAAUUCUUAGUGAAGCGGUGGAAUGCGUAGAUAUUAGGAAGAACACCAACGGCGAAGGCAGUUUACUGGAUAUACACUGACGCUCAAGAACGAAAGCGUGGGGAGCAAA